UUGGAUGUAUUCCAGAGGGGGUAAUAUGGAAUCCGGUGUGAGUCCGGAACAGUACCUGCUGCUGUAAGUCCUUAAAAUCUGUUACACACUGCCACUGGCACUCGCUGGGAAGGCGUAGCAUGACAUGGGACAAGUCAGAAAACAUGCCGUGCAUAC
rnacentral:ncRNA from 1 species